GAUGAACGCUGGCGGCGUGCCUAAUACAUGCAAGUCGAGCGAACGGACGAGAAGCUUGCUUCUCUGAUGUUAGCGGCGGACGGGUGAGUAACACGUGGAUAACCUACCUAUAAGACUGGGAUAACUUCGGGAAACCGGAGCUAAUACCGGAUAAUAUUUUGAACCGCAUGGUUCAAAAGUGAAAGACGGUCUUGCUGUCACUUAUAGAUGGAUCCGCGCUGCAUUAGCUAGUUGGUAAGGUAACGGCUUACCAAGGCAACGAUGCAUAGCCGACCUGAGAGGGUGAUCGGCCACACUGGAACUGAGACACGGUCCAGACUCCUACGGGAGGCAGCAGUAGGGAAUCUUCCGCAAUGGGCGAAAGCCUGACGGAGCAACGCCGCGUGAGUGAUGAAGGUCUUCGGAUCGUAAAACUCUGUUAUUAGGGAAGAACAUAUGUGUAAGUAACUGUGCACAUCUUGACGGUACCUAAUCAGAAAGCCACGGCUAACUACGUGCCAGCAGCCGCGGUAAUACGUAGGUGGCAAGCGUUAUCCGGAAUUAUUGGGCGUAAAGCGCGCGUAGGCGGUUUUUUAAGUCUGAUGUGAAAGCCCACGGCUCAACCGUGGAGGGUCAUUGGAAACUGGAAAACUUGAGUGCAGAAGAGGAAAGUGGAAUUCCAUGUGUAGCGGUGAAAUGCGCAGAGAUAUGGAGGAACACCAGUGGCGAAGGCGACUUUCUGGUCUGUAACUGACGCUGAUGUGCGAAAGCGUGGGAAUCAAACAGGAUUAGAUACCCUGGUAGUCCACGCCGUAAACGAUGAGUGCUAAGUGUUAGGGGGUUUCCGCCCCUUAGUGCUGCAGCUAACGCAUUAAGCACUCCGCCUGGGGAGUACGACCGCAAGGUUGAAACUCAAAGGAAUUGACGGGGACCCGCACAAGCGGUGGAGCAUGUGGUUUAAUUCGAAGCAACGCGAAGAACCUUACCAAAUCUUGACAUCCUUUGACAACUCUAGAGAUAGAGCUUUCCCCUUCGGGGGACAAAGUGACAGGUGGUGCAUGGUUGUCGUCAGCUCGUGUCGUGAGAUGUUGGGUUAAGUCCCGCAACGAGCGCAACCCUUAAGCUUAGUUGCCAUCAUUAAGUUGGGCACUCUAAGUUGACUGCCGGUGACAAACCGGAGGAAGGUGGGGAUGACGUCAAAUCAUCAUGCCCCUUAUGAUUUGGGCUACACACGUGCUACAAUGGACAAUACAAAGGGCAGCGAAACCGUGAGGUCAAGCAAAUCCCAUAAAGUUGUUCUCAGUUCGGAUUGUAGUCUGCAACUCGACUACAUGAAGCUGGAAUCGCUAGUAAUCGUAGAUCAGCAUGCUACGGUGAAUACGUUCCCGGGUCU
rnacentral:rRNA from 1 species